rnacentral:lncRNA from 1 species
ACACAUUUAAUACAUGUCUAAAAUUACAUAUUAUAGAUAGUGUAAUGUUGAUACUAAAAUCCAUAAGCGCCUAAUGACAACAUUGCAUAUAUUUGCAUACCCAAAAAGAAAUUACAACUAUAGCACAAUAUAUACAAGGGUGUCCAAAAUGAAACUAGGAACUAGAUCAUUAUAGAAUGAUCUCAAAAGAGAUAUCUACACAGCGGAAAAGCCAAUCAAAAUAGUCAAGUAAGCAAGAAUAUCAAGUUAU